rnacentral:rRNA from 1 species
UGGGGAAUCUUGCACAAUGGGGGCAACCCUGAUGCAGCGACGCCGCGUGAGCGAUGAAGGUUUUCGAAUCGUAAAGCUCUGUCCUAUGGGAAGAUAAUGACGGUACCAUAGGAGGAAGCCCCGGCUAACUACGUGCCAGCAGCCGCGGUAAUACGUAGGGGGCGAGCGUUGUCCGGAAUUACUGGGCGUAAAGGGUUCGCAGGCGGAAUGGCAAGUCCGAUGUAAAAGGCGAAGGCUCAACCUUCGUAAGCAUCGGAAACUGUCAAGCUUGAGUGAAGGAGAGGCAAGUGGAAUUCCUAGUGUAGCGGUGGAAUGCGUAGAUAUUAGGAGGAAUACCGGUGGCGAAGGCGACUUGCUGGACUUCAACUGACACUGAGGCGCGAAAGCGUGGGGAGCAAACAGG